UUUUAAGGAAUAUUUUGGUUCCAGGCCUGGAUGCAAGCUUCCAAAGGCUGGAGAUGACCUAGCUUUUGUGCCUGGGUCUCUCUCAUGCAAGUACCCUAUGUCUGCACCUGUGCUCCUCUGGCCAUGACCAGAAGUUUCUCCUCUGAGGGCUGCUAUGGCUGCUGCUGUCCUUCUAGAUUGGUGCUUUCUGCUUAUGGUGACAGAGGGUUCGAGGGGAAGAAUGCAGGCACCAAGCCUGUAUCUGCUCAUUCUGCCUAGAACAUGUUACACAGCUGUCUUGAUACAGUAAGGAAACUAACCUAGAGCAUUGACUUGUCACAGUGACAGGAACUGGAAGCCCUCAGCAGUGUGGUGACAAGGGAGUACAAGCUACUUUCAUACUUUAGGGCAAAAUGAAGGAAAAAAUGGAGCAAACCAGCUCUGCAGGGGGAUCAAAGGGCGAGGACAUUGUUAGAAACACUGUAUCCCGUGUCCUGAAAAGCAGAAGGAUGCUAGUGCAAGACCAGGGUCCCAAGCAAGGCUUUCUCCAGGAGCUACUUUCCUCCACCUGUUCACAUGCCCAUGAUGUCCACAGAAUUCAUGAGGAGAAGCAUCCUUCUGGAAGACCAUCUGGGAUUGGACAACUCUGCUGAUGGGAUCAGCUCCCUCCACCCCAGCUUGGCCUGCAGAAGAACCUUCGCCAUGGCUCUCAGGAUGAAGGUGCCAAGUCUGGGUUCCCAGGCAUCUCUGAAGCCUCCAUCCUCCCUGGAAGCACGGCGCAGGGCUCUGCCUCCCCUGGACUGUCUAAACCUGUCUCCUCUUCUAAACACCUUCAUCUUGUUCCCUCGCAGCCCCUAUUCUUCUUGGCUAUGCAAUCCUCAUUCCCCUAGAUGUUGCAAAUAAAGAG